UACGUAGGUGACAAGCGUUGUCCGGAUUUAUUGGGUUUAAAGGGUGCGCAGGCGGAGGUGCAAGUCAGCGGUCAAAUUGCGGGGCUCAACCCCGUACUGCCGUUGAAACUGCAUCCCUUGAGUGCGCGAGAAGUAUGCGGAAUGCGUGGUGUAGCGGUGAAAUGCAUAGAUAUCACGCAGAACUCCGAUUGCGAAGGCAGCAUACCGGCGCGCAACUGACGCUCAUGCACGAAAGCGUGGGUAUCGAACAGG
rnacentral:rRNA from 1 species